rnacentral:rRNA from 1 species
CCUUAUCGAUAAACAAUUGGAGGGCAAGUCUGGUGCCAGCAGCCGCGGUAAUUCCAGCUCCAAUAGCGUAUAUUAACGUUGUUGCAGUUAAAAAGCUCGUAGUUGAAAUGAAGGGUAGUUGUGUAAUGAAUACAUUCGUGUAUUUUGUUAUUCUACUACCCUCCUUCUAAAUUCGAUAUAUGAGUAUUAAUUUACUUGUAUAUGGUUUUAGACGUUUACUGUGAGAAAAUUAGAGUGUUCAAAGCAGGCAUUUGCUUGAAUAUAUUAGCAUGGAAUAAUCAUGUAUGAUUUUCAUGAUGUAUUUGAUUGGUUUGGUUCAUGAGAAUAAGAUUAAAAGGGACAGUUGGGGGUAUUCAUAUUCAAUAGUCAGAGGUGAAAUUCUCGGAUUUAUGGAA